AGGACGAACGCUGGCGGCGUGCUUAACACAUGCAAGUCGAACGAGGCGCUUGCGCCUAGUGGCGAACGGGUGAGUAACACGUGAGCAACCUGCCCUUGGCUCUGGGAUAGCCUCCGGAAACGGGGAUUAAUACCGGACAUGACCUUCUCCUGCAUGGGGGGAGGGUGGAAAGUUUUUCGGCCAGGGAGGGGCUCGCGGCCUAUCAGCUUGUUGGGGGGUAACGGCCCACCGAAGGCGACGACGGGUAGCC
rnacentral:rRNA from 1 species